rnacentral:tRNA from 1 species
GGGGUUGUGGCUCAGCGGUAAAGCAAUCGCCUAGCAAGUGCAAGACCCUGAGUUCGAUCCUCAGCACCACA